CGUCCGGAGAGCUGGAGACGUUCGGUCUAGUUGGAAAAGACUAGGGUCCCUAACUCUUUAGAGUCGUCUCCCCCCAUUAUUGCGGGGGAGGUGACCAAGGUUUGGUGUAACAAGCCCCCUCCGAACUGAAGGGCUCUACAAAGGUUAAGCGAGAGCAAUUAAUAGAGCUGAAACCGGCCUGUAGUUUAUUGGGGUGCAAGUGCCUGUACUACUCCCAGAAAGUCGCCCCCUCCCCCAGGUCCUGAGGACAAAGGUCUAGCGAUGUCCAUCCCCUCCCCCAGUGAGGACAGCCAGGGAAGACCCGCGUCUAUCGUGUGCAGGGUUGACAGUGAUUAUAACACCACACCAGCUCCUCUCUCACCGCUGGAAGCAGAAGAUCCAACUUUUGUGAAACACUGAAGCGAAGGUGUAGACAGAGAGAAUGAAGAUCCCUCACAUCCCUCACCAGAGGCCCAGGGAUGGAAGAGACGGAAAGAAUCAACAAAGGAGAAACAGGAAGUCAACAGUAAACCUCCUCUGCAAGUGUGGGCUGGGAUUACUGCCUUAUUUCUGAAGACUAGUAUGGAAAGGGAAAGAAAAUAACUUUACGGUGGAACAAAUGAGCAAGCACUACUGAGCCAGGUGAUGGAGGCCAACAUCAGCAGUGACAAAACAUAUCGAGAGCAUGUAAACUUGAAAGGGUUUAAUCAGA